GCCACAGCAGUGCUGGGCUCAGGGAGCAUCCUGAGGCUAGGUGUCCAAAGCACCCUGUGCCUAGAUGGCAGUCAGAAAUCUGCACAAAUUUUGUCUCCUGGCUUUGUCUCUUUCUGCUGAACCAGCUCUCGAAAUAAGAAUUGUGGGUCACAGCACAAGGGAAAAAAAGUGUUAAAAUCAAAUCGGAAUUUGAAGAGAGAAUUUUCUCAGACAGCCAGCAAGCCUAAUUGAAAUAAAAGAGAAGAAACAAAAUAAUUCAGAGAAGAAUUUAAAGACUUUUGUGACGUAUAACUUGACCGGGGCUGGCCAAUUUCAGAAAGCCUAAUGUAACUAUGGGAAGAUGAAAACAACAACAAUUGGGGACCAAAUGGACAGGGAACAAUGAGAAAUGAAAAAAGUUAUUUCUGUGCAGGUGUUUUGAAUAGUUUGUGAAGCUACAGGCAUAGCAUGUCACCUCAGACAGAUGAUCUUACGUCAAUUUCUAGGAGCGGAAUGGCUUGAUCAUAUACUGGAGAACAAGACUGAAUAUCCACUGAUAGAUGAAGAUGUUUACCAGUCUGCUACUAAAAGAAACCAACUGAAAAUGAUUUUUGAAUACAUCAGUUCAUGUGUUGGUGUUAAUACCUCUUCCUUCUUCA